rfam:Gossypium hirsutum cultivar TM-1 chromosome 16, whole genome shotgun sequence
UGUUAAAAGUUUUAUCCCUUUCUACUAUUAAAAACGGGCAUGGUACGUGACUUGUCAAGUGUGCUUUAUGCUAAUGUAUAAAGACCAAUUUUUAACAAUAAAACAGGAUAAAAUUUUUAAUA